CUAAUCCGAGAAGAACCAAUAUUUUGCAAUACACGGCAUUGCCGUGAGCUGUUAUGUGUGUAAGAAUGUAAGGCUUUUGUAAUAAUAAAGUGUAUGCCACCACGCUUUGUUUGUGUUUGACAUACUGAAUAAAAACAAGUAAGUGGUAUCCAGAGAAUGAUAGCCUUCCAGUUAAAAGAAUCACCUGACAUUUGACACCUUAAAGAACAAAAAUAAGUCUGCUCGGAAAGGAAACGCCCAUCCCAGGCACAGCGUCUCUUCAGUAGCCAACCUGGAAGUGGUUUCAUUACAAGCUCCCCAUCAUAAUAUAAAAGGCUGUAUGCAGAAUUGUAUGAAGUUUACACUCUGAUAAAGAGAAUGGUAAGUGGACAGUGUUUUUACGACACCUUUCUAGCCUUAUAGAGUCCACAGGAAAUGAACUAGACUCACACAAACCUGUAAUAAAUCCUCCCUUUGCCUAUGAGGCACCCGCCCAACAAGUUUCACAAGUUUUUUUUUUUUUUUUUUUGCAUAAACCUCCUGACAGUUGAGGAAACAUACACAAAUAAACAGCGCAAAAACAGCUCUGACGCCGCGGUCUUAAUUCCACGAGGACCUCAGGUGGAGAGAUGGAAGAGCGUUCUUCGAAAUUUCUUCUGUUUUAGUAAUUGCUUGUGAUUCAUAGGUUUACGGGAAAUCUCUCACUUGAAACUAAUUUGUGUUGAUUUGCAGUUACUCUUCCUUCCAAAAACUGAGCAAUCAAAAAGUCCCGUAAGAGAGCCGUUAAAAUCCCUCUUUCGACAGAGGUCAAUAGUUCAGGUUUCCACUUGUAAUUCGUCUGAACUUCACAUGUACUUUGUAACAAAAACAACCACAAGGUGGCGCACUCGGAUCAGCAUGACGAUUAAAGGACUCGCACGACGGGGCCGUGAGGAGGGAGCUGCUGACUAAAGAGAAGACAUUCAAAAAGUGUGGGGAAAAUGCACUACAUUGAAAGAUAACACCGCGAACUGUAAAUUUCGAGGAACGUUAAUUCUGCAGAUUACAUCAGCGUCAACGUCAAAGCAUAAAUAGAGGCCCCGAGGUUGUAUUUAAAUAGUGCAGGAUAUGAAAAAAUUUCCCUGACGUGGUUGUUUUUCCUUUUUUGUUUUGUUACAGAAAGAGAAUGCACACAUCAAAAGUUAGGCCUGCUUUCACGGCUCCUUGCUGGGAGGCAAACAGGACUUCCCCUGUUUGCCGUUUCAUCUGAGCCAGUUAGACUCGAGCAGCGGCAUCAUAGGCCCCAGAAAUUGCUGAAAAAUACCGAGCUGUAAAAAUUACCGCCCUUACUGCUAAGCGGUGAGGAAGGCAGUUUUAACAGUUGGAUCCCCCGGGCCUUGGUUCAGCUGCUCUCCAUAACAUAAGGGCUUCGGUUGAGCCAUUGACAUGUCGAAGAGGUUAACACGUGAGGAGCGGAUCAAAAUUGUGUUGACAU